rnacentral:rRNA from 1 species
GACGAACGCUGGCGGCGUGCUUAACACAUGCAAGUCGAACGGAAAGGCCCUGCUUUUGUGGGGUGCUCGAGUGGCGAACGGGUGAGUAACACGUGAGUAACCUGCCCUUGACUUUGGGAUAACUUCAGGAAACUGGGGCUAAUACAGGAUAGGAGCUCUUGCUGCAUGGUGGGGGUUGGAAAGUUUCGGCGGUUGGGGAUGGACUCGCGGCUUAUCAGCUUGUUGGUGGGGUAGUGGCUUACCAAGGCUUUGACGGGUAGCCGGCCUGAGAGGGUGACCGGCCACAAUGGGACUGAGAUACGGCCCAGACUCCUACGGGAGGCAGCAGUGGGGAAUAUUGCACAAUGGGCGGAAGCCUGAUGCAGCAACGCCGCGUGCGGGAUGACGGCCUUCGGGUUGUAAACCGCUUUCGCCUGUGACGAAGCGUGAGUGACGGUAAUGGGUAAAGAAGCACCGGCUAACUACGUG